UCAAAAAUUAGUUUAUAUAAAAUAGUAGUUUUGGGUACUACAGAAAAGGAUACUUUUUUUUGAG
rnacentral:tRNA from 1 species